rnacentral:tRNA from 1 species
UCCAGGGUAACCUAGUGGACAUGGCAUCUGCCCGGUAAGCGGAACACUGUGGGUUCGAUUCCCAUUCCUGGAC